rnacentral:tRNA from 1 species
GUCGGAUAGCUCAGCUGGUAG